GUAUUAUCAUUUGAAGUGGACAAGGAGACGAAGAAGCGGUUUAACCGAAGUAGGAGUUAGCGGUUUAGCGCAGAGAC
rnacentral:sRNA from 1 species